rnacentral:rRNA from 1 species
UUGAACGCUGGCGGCAUGCUUUACACAUGCAAGUCGAACGGUAACAGGCCGCAAGGUGCUGACGAGUGGCGAACGGGUGAGUAAUGCAUCGGAACGUGCCCAGUCGUGGGGGAUAACUACUCGAAAGAGUAGCUAAUACCGCAUACGAUCUAUUGAUGAAAGCGGGGGACCGUAAGGCCCCGCGCGCUUUGAGCGGCCGAUGUCAGAUUAGGUAGUUGGUGGGGGAAAGGCUCACCAAGCCAACGAUCUGUAGCUGGUCUGAGAGGACAACCAGCCACCCUGGGAGUGAGACACGGCCCCGACUGCGACGGGAAGGCGCAGUGGGGAAUUUUGGGCAAUGGGGGGGAGCCUGAUACAGCAAAGGCGGGGGGAAGAAGAAGGGCUUCCGGUUGGUAAACGGUUUUGUACGGAACAAAACGGCUUUGGUUAAUACCCGGGGAUAAUGACGGUACCGUAAGAAUAAGCACCGGCUAACUACGUG